rnacentral:misc_RNA from 1 species
UUUCCGUAGGUGAACCUGCGGAAGGAUCAUUAGUGAAUUGUAUAUGUUAGCGCACCUCUUCGGUUUCCCUAGCAUCAAAUCAUAUACAUAACACCUUUUAACUGUAAGACUGUCUUGAGAACUAAAGUGAUGAACGCGUCUGUCCAUUUUAUGCAAACAUUUAGGUAACAAACGUAGUCUUCUUAUAAUCUAAUAAAACUUUCAACAACGGAUCUCUUGGUUCUC